UGACUCGGAUCAGGUAGGGAUACCGCUGAACUUAA
rnacentral:rRNA from 1 species